UACGGAGGGUGCAAGCGUUGUCCGGAAUCACUGGGCGUAAAGGGCGCGUAGGCGGCUCAUGAAGGCUGUGGUGAAAGUCCGGGGCUCAACCUCGGAUCGGCCGUGGCGACUCGUGGGCUGGAGCACUGUAGAGGCGGGUGGAAUUCCGGGUGUAGCGGUGGAAUGCGUAGAGAUCCGGAAGAACACCAAAGGCGAAGGCACCAUCCUGGGGAGUCACUGACGCUCGGGUGCGAAAGCUAGGGGAGCGAACGGG
rnacentral:rRNA from 1 species